rnacentral:ncRNA from 1 species
CUGAUUGAGGCGCGGAGAUCAUCAGUACCCCUGGUCCGGGACAGGCAUCCCGUGGGGGAAAGGGAAAUCCGCCGAAGGGCCGCGAAAUGCCUGAAAACGCGGUUGCCUGGGCCGUCGGAGAAGAUCCGGCGGACUGCCACGGAAUGUGGAGCGCUAUUG